rnacentral:rRNA from 1 species
GUGGGGAAUAUUGGACAAUGGGCGAAAGCCUGAUCCAGCCAUGCCGCGUGUGUGAAGAAGGUCUUCGGAUUGUAAAGCACUUUAAGUUGGGAGGAAGGGCAGUAAGUUAAUACCUUGCUGUUUUGACGUUACCGACAGAAUAAGCACAGGCUAACUUCGUGCCAGCAGCCGCGGUAAUACGAAGGGUGCAAGCGUUAUCCGGAUUCAUUGGGCGUAAAGCGCGCGUAGGUGGUUCAGUAAGUUGGAAGUGAAAUCCCCGGGCUCAACCUGGGAACUGCUUUCAAAACUGCUGAGCUAGAGUACGGUAGAGGGUGGUGGAAUUUCCUGUGUAGCGGUGAAAUGCGUAGAUAUAGGAAGGAACACCAGUGGCGAAGGCGACCACCUGGACUGAUACUGACACUGAGGUGCGAAAGCGUGGGGAGCAAACAGGAUUAGAUACCCCUGUAGUCC